rnacentral:rRNA from 1 species
GACGAACGCUGGCGGCGUGCUUAACACAUGCAAGUCGAACGAUGAACCCGGAGCUUGCUCUGGGGGAUUAGUGGCGAACGGGUGAGUAACACGUGGGUAACCUGCCCUGGACUCUGGGAUAAGCGUUGGAAACGACGUCUAAUACCGGAUAGGACCUUGGAUCGCAUGAUCUGGGGUGGAAAGUUUUUUCGGUCUGGGAUGGACUCGCGGCCUAUCAGCUUGUUGGUGAGGUAAUGGCUCACCAAGGCGUCGACGGGUAGCCGGCCUGAGAGGGUGACCGGCCACACUGGGACUGAGACACGGCCCAGACUCCUACGGGAGGCAGCAGUGGGGAAUAUUGCACAAUGGGCGAAAGCCUGAUGCAGCAACGCCGCGUGCGGGAUGACGGCCUUCGGGUUGUAAACCGCUUUUAGUAGGGAAGAAGGGCUUCGGCUUGACGGUACCUGCAGAAAAAGGACCGGCUAACUACGUG